AUGACGGCACAUGCCAACAGAAGGCCACACGCGCGAACAACUGACAGCUCCGACUCUGACGACGAUCAUCACAACGGAAUAUGCAGGACUUGCGCCAACCGUGCCCGCCAACCAGCGGGCACCUCGGACACGCCGGGAAGAUCCGACUACCGGAUCCCGAGCCGCGACCAAAACUCCUCUCGACGCCAUCAUCGUUACCAAACAGAAAUCAGCGCCCCGAAAUGGCCGCCUCAGCAAACUACACGGCGAAGAUGCCGCAAACCACGCGGCAAAGAUGUCGCCAUCCACUGGUCUUCAGGUUGUGGCCGGCUCCGAGACGAUGCCCCCAAGAAGGAAGAAGACGUGAAGGCGUCUUCAUCGCCCGAUCUCGAAGAUCUGAGGUUUCCCUCCGGAGCCAAGGCCGCGGGAAGGGGGAGAAGCACCACACAACAACAACGCUUCCAAGAAAAAGCACGACGCCCACGGGCGUCGCCGUCGCCAGAUCCGGCAGAGGCCGGACAUAGGAUUUCUCCCGGAGAUGCUCAACCACCACCUGCCCGCAUCAACGCAGCCAACGAACCCCAUCCUGCCGAGGCCGACCUCGAACUGGCCGUGGGAUCCCGAGACCCACCAUGCCCAGAUGCGCACACCACCCCCCAGCCGAAGCCGCUUCCACCAAAUCCGGGGCCGCCGCCCCGGCAGCUGCCACCACGCCGGGCUAGCAAACUGGCCAGUUCCUUAGCACCAAGCCGGGAGGGGGGCCGCUACCCCGCCCCAACCCGCCGAGUAGGGCUGCUGGGCGAAGCCGGAGCAACCCACUGCAGCCGCAGCACCGCCGGGAGGAGCCUCGUCCAGCAGCCAGGAGCCGUCGUCCGCAUCCCGACUCGCCGGAUCCACGCGCCAGGAGCCGCCGGAGCGCCGCCAAUCGCCAUGCCGUCCCCGCCAGAUCCCGUCGAGGGGCAUCAAGGCCGCACCCGAAGCACGCGCCACCACGCCCCUCGCCGCGCCAGCACCACCUGGCCGCGCCCGCCUGCGCAUCGCUCGCCGCCACCCCGCGCUGCCUCGCCGCGCCGCCCCGAGCGCCAGCGCGCCCGAGCUCCCUCUGGAACGGCCGACCCGCGCCGCACCAUCUCAAGCGGGAGGAGGAAAAAGGAACCCCGCCGCCGCCGAGCCGCGCGGGCUUCGCCCGGCGACUCCUGCCGGCGGCAGCGAGGGGAGGGGGGCGGCGGGGUGUGGCUAGUGGCGGCGGCGGCUAGGGUUCGCUCCUGGCCGCCCGCAGGAGCGACCGAGGAGCGACCUUUUUGA
rnacentral:rRNA from 1 species